GACAUCGUGGCCGAGUGGUUAAGGCGACAGACUCGAAUCCACCCUCCUCCUCUCUUGACAGAGACUAGGGGCCCUAGUUCGUGAUCAUCUGUUGGGUUCGCCCGCAUAGGUUCAAAUCCUGUCGAUGUCG